rnacentral:lncRNA from 1 species
UCUUUUUCACCACUGUUCCUUUAGCUUAUCAUUAUUCAUUAAUGACACAUACUUGGUUUUGCUCUCUCAUUGUUUCUUUUUAUAUUUUAUCCUUUAAAUUUUGUUUUCAUUUUUCCUUUUAUGUUGGUGUUUUGCGAUGCCAUUUUUUAUUAUUUAUUCAAUAAAGCUUUACUCUUAAAAAACAGGUAUUUUAAUUUGUAUCGGAAAUUAAAUUGGUGAUUUAUUUAAAA